GGUGUAGGUGGCUCUAUAAGUCAGGAGUGAAAGCCCCAAGCUUAACUUGGGAAGUGCUUUUGAUACUGUAGAGCUUGAAUGUGGGAGAGGAUCGUGGAAUUCCAGGUGUAGUGGUGAAAUACGUAGAUAUCUGGAGGAACACCGGUGGCGAAGGCGGCGAUCUGGCCCAACAUUGACACUGAGACCGAAAGCGUGGGGAUCAAACA
rnacentral:rRNA from 1 species